rnacentral:tRNA from 1 species
GCCCUUGUAGUUUAACGGAUAAAAUAUGGACCUCCGAAGUCUAAGAUGGCCGUUCGAUUCGGCCCGAGGGCA